UGAUGGUGACCUGGAAGGCAGAUGGUACC
rnacentral:piRNA from 1 species